rnacentral:rRNA from 1 species
UACGAAGGGGGCGAGCGUUGUUCGGAAUUACUGGGCGUAAAGGGCGCGCAGGCGGCUCUGCAAGUCAGAUGUGAAAGCCCCGGGCUUAACCUGGGAACUGCAUUUGAUACUCUGGAGCUUGAGUACGGGAGAGGAUAGUGGAAUUCCCAGUGUAGAGGUGAAAUUCGUAGAUAUCAGGAGGAACACCUGCGGUGUAGACGGCUUUCUGGACCAUUGUUGACGCUGAGACACGAAAGCGUGGGUAGCAAACAGG